UACGGAGGGGGCUAGCGUUGUUCGGAAUUACUGGGCGUAAAGCGCGCGUAGGCGGCUUUGUAAGUUAGAGGUGAAAGCCCGGAGCUCAACUCCGGAAUUGCCUUUAAGACUGCAUCGCUAGAAUCAUGGAGAGGUUAGUGGAAUUCCGAGUGUAGAGGUGAAAUUCGUAGAUAUUCGGAAGAACACCGGUGGCGAAGGCGGUCUGCUGGGGUGGAACUGACGCUGAGGCGCGACAGCGUGGGGAGCAAACAGG
rnacentral:rRNA from 1 species